GUGCUAAACCUGAGCCAGCUAGCUUCUUAGAAAGAAUCGGAGUCACUGCUGCCUGUCCUAGACUUUAUUUGAGGCUUGUUACCCAAAGAGGCCAGAAGAGGACACCAGAUCCUUAGGAACUGGAUUUGCAGGCUGUUGUAGACUGCCAUGUGGGUGUGCCAGGAUUACUGGUAUAAAACAUCUGACUGAGCCAGGCAUGUGAAGCAUAAAGACCAAAUUCUUGGAUUUCACUUGAAGGCUAUCACCUGGAUCUUCAUUUCUUAUUUGUGUGCUGGAGCUAAGGUGGCUUUUGCUGUCUGCUGAGCUUCAUGCCAUGUCCCUGAAGUAGGAUAAGGUAGAAAAUACCAAAUAGUAAGUACUGGUUUAUUUAUUUGUUUAGUGAUUGACCUACUUUGUGUACUGCCCAUCUGCCAAGCAGGACUUCACUUGCUGCCUGGAAAAGAAUGACCUGGAGGAACAGCUGAAAUAAUGCAUCAGUGCCCUUAACAACCUGCUGACUGCCAAGUAUGCUUCUGCUUCUGUAAAAUCCUGCAGGCCCCACGUCGUGUCUUUAGGGUAUAAUAUGACCCAGACCCAGAAAGACAUGCAUGGUAUACACUCACUUAUAAGCAGAUAUUAGCCAUCUUUCCAGAUUAACCAUACUACAAUCUCCAGAUCUAAAGAAGCUAAACAACAAGGAGGACCCUAGUGAAGAUGUUUAAUUCUCAUUCAGAAGAGGAUAGAUAUCGGAAAUGGGAGAAGACAGGGAAUAGGACAGGAGUCUUCAACAGGGGUCCUCUGAAAGACUCUACCCAUCAGGCUAUUGAAGCAGAUGCUGAGACUCAUAGCCAAACUUGGGCAGAGUGCAAGGAUCUUAUGAAAGAAGUGGGGGAUAGAAAGACCUGGAGGGGACAGAGCUCCACAAGGAGACCAACAGAGCCAACAAAUCUGGGCCAUGGUGGGGGGUGGGACCUGCAGAGAAUGAUGCACCAAUCAAGGACCAUGCAUGGAGAGGACCUAGACCUCCUGCUCAGAUGGAGCUGAUAGGCAGCUGUCUCCAUGUGGGUGCCCUAGUAAUGGGAGCAGAAGAUGUCUCUGACAUGGACUCUAUUGCUUGCUCUUCAGUUACUUCCUCCUGGCAGGGCAGCCUUGCCAGGCCACAGAAGAGGAUGCAGGCAGUCCUUAUGACACUUGAUAGGCUGGGGUCAGAUAGUAGGGGAGGAGAACUCCCCCUUUGUGAGGACUAGGGGAGGAGGUGUAAUGGAAGUUUUAGUUUUUUUAAAAACUCAGUUAUGUUAUGUAAAUAUGUUUCUGUUUUAGUUCCAAGUAUGGGAUAUUAGUUGGUCUUUAGUUUGUGCACAACUAAUAAUUGUCUUGUGCAGGGCAUUGUCUUUGCCAGCUGGUAACAGCCUGCCUCAUCCUGCAUGGAGAGGGGCAUGGUCUAGGAUUCUGAGGGUAUAAAUAUGAGAGCCCAGAAAGAGAAGGUGUGGCACGUGGUGGUGGUGCAUGGCCAGUGGCAGUUUGGAGAGACCAGUGAUGGAAACAGACAAAGAGAAAUGUUUCAGCACAACUGAUUGGAGGAUACUGUGUGCUGCAUUUGCUGUUGAUGGAGAUUGGUAUAACCCCCAAAGAACCCAUUGACCCUAAAUAGCCGGAAGAAGUAAAGAGGUUUGCACCUGUCUCUUCCCACUAACUUUCUCUCUCCUACCUGGGGUUGGGAGGUUGGAAGGGAGAGGCUAUAAGGAACACCAAAUAAAAUAGAGUUUAAAAAUGAGCCCAA